GGGCUAAGUUACUCAAGAAAAAGCUUCUAACUUUAGUCUUAAGCAGUGAAAUACUGUUUUUAGCUCU
rnacentral:tRNA from 1 species